UCAUAACAAGGGCGAGACAACGCGGAAGUCCAAAAGACCAUAAAGUAGAGACGAAGCGUCUCUCACUUUCUAAACAAAGAUUUAUAAACAUUGAUUUGUUUUCAUUUGAUCUGUGCAGAAGACGCCGUAGAGCGUCCCGUGGUGUGGUAUAAUGGUAUGACUUCUGAUAAAAGCCGGUGCCUAUGUGGUGCGGAAGAUCUCUUCUGCUGUCCGAGGGGAUGAGCAAAAAGAUGAGCCUGUCCGCACGCCAUGUAGCCUGGCCCAAGCUAAUAAGCGUCGGAGUCAGAAGCGGUUAACAGCGGCUGAGACAUCAUCUCCAGACCUGGAUGAUGGCGCAGUCUGUGUGCCUUCCACAGACACUGCAGUUCAGAAACGUAGUUCCUGAGGUUAAAGGUCACGCUGGUGCAUUACUGGGUAAUAGACAGUCUGAUUAGCAAAACAUAUAUUUACACUGAAGCCAAUUUAGAUUUUAGUUACAUAAUUGUACCUAGAGUGCUAAUUAAUUAUUUAAGAAUAAUAGUACAUAGUGAUGAGCAAAAUGCUGGAGUUUGUCUUUGUAAUUAUGGGCUUAUUUACUAUCUGGCUGCUCACAGACCCAAAUUGGACUCUAAAAUUAGUGCUUGGGUAUGUAGAUAAAAACUAAACAGAAUUAUAAACAUCUGAGAAUUUACUAAUAACAGUAUAUCUCAAUAGUUUCCUUUUAUUUAUUAAAAAGUACAAUUAAAAAUUAGAGGAAAAGUUUUAAUAUUGGGUUAUCAAAAAGUUUGACAAUAUACUGAUAAUACAUCACUCUAAAAAACAUUCUUUAAAAAAAACCCUUUUAGUUAAUUAAUGUUGUUUAUCAACCCAGUUUGCCCUGCGUGACUGUUAUUCAGUGCCUUUUCUUUCUCACUUUUUCUGUUCACUCAGCUGUAGAGUGUGACGGUCUGUUCAUCAACCUCUAGCUUAGGGUCUGGACAGAUCUGAAGUUUUCCUACAGCUGUAUUAUUUUAUGGAAUGUAUAAACCAAUAUUUAUCACUUUACAAGAAAGCCUAUUCAAAAGAGCAGGGCUUUGAAUGUGUAUAACAUUUUCAUACCUUGUGUGAAAAAUAAAAUCGCUUGAAAAUCA